UUGACAUCCACCCCUUGGCGCUCAUAUGACCUCAUGCAGUUGCGAGGGCCGUAAAACCUCUACUAAAACUAUUUUCAAAAACUGUUACUACUAAUACUGAAGUAAAGUAUCACUGCUGCCCCCUCAGGAUUUCUUUUCAUGCCUUGUCAAAGUCUAUUUCUAGCUGACUGCACCGACACUGGAGGGAUAACACUAACAGAUUGCCUCUUUACUGUUGCGUGCUGAAGGUGGGAGUUCGAUUCCUGUGCGGGGAAGAUUUGUAUCAAACAUCUCCCGUUUGUCGGCUGAGAUUUUGUGACUCACUCACUCAGAGUUGGUCGCCCCAGGAAGGCAGGGUCAAAACAGCGUAAGUGGAAAUAUAUAGGCGUAUGUAAAGUUGGCUCUAAUUUUGGGGGGAGAAAUAUAGGAGUAAAGUUGGCUCUAAUUUUGGGGGGAGAAAUAUAGGAGUAAAGUUGGCUCUAAUUUUGGGGGGAGAAAAAUAGGAGUAAAGUUGGCUCUAAUUUUGGGGGGAGAAAUAUAGGAGUAAAGUUGGCGCUGAUUUUGAGAGUCGAAAUAUGUGCGUGACAUCGGCACUGAUUUUUGGGAGGGAAAAUAUACGUGUAAAAUCGGCACUGAUUUUGGAGUGGACAGUGUGGUGUAGGUAGCUAUAUUUUAAAAAUAAUUUCUUUCCUUUAAAAUUGUACAAUGUGUUUUGUGCACUUGUAAAUUUUGUAUAUAAAGAAAAUUUGGGACUGAAAUUUUUGCUUCUAAAUUUUUAAUCUGACCAUUGAAUAGACCACACCAGAGCACCUGCCAACCACCCACAGCGCACACACACACACACACACACACCCCCCCCCCCCCUCCCCUUUUCAAGAAAGAAAAACUUUUUAAAAGAUUUGUUUUAAUGUAGCGGUAAGGCUCAUCGCAUUCAAUUUCUGAGUGGGGAAAAAUUUUUAGCCAAAUUUUUAUCAAUUGUCUUGGUAUUUCUGCUGGGAUGUUGCAUCCUUCUCAGCCCAGGUUGGCCCUGACAGACAGAGUCAGAAGCCCGCCUCUUAAAUGACCUAAAUUGGGUUGAUGGAGAAGUAAAUACUCCUACAUUUUUUUCUUUCAAGAUCUACUUAUUUGCUAUGAAAAUGUAAAUUAUCUCUGAGUCUUAUGUUGUGGUGAAAACAUAAUUGCUCCAACAUUUUUAUCUUUCAAAAUCUACUUUUUCGGUAUGAAAAUGUGAAUUCUUUCUUAUUAUUUUCCGGUAUUGCUCAAAAAUUUGUGCAGAAUGUUCUUUUAACUUCUCACCAAUUUCAUCACCAUUUGUAUCGCCAAAUUGUAUCAUCAGUUGGAUCACCAAUUGUAAUGACAGUUGAAAGUAACAUUGUAAUUUCAGACGAAAGAAAGUGUUUGACCUCAUUUUGACGGACACGUAAUAGGCCUAUGGGUAAGAGUUGGACAGUGAUGUAUGGUACUCCUGGGAUGCCAAAUCUCUGCUUUUUCCUGCUUUUUCAGGUGGGGGUUUUUUUUUCAAAAAUCAUUUGGCAUCCCUGAAGAAGAAGGCCACUGACAUAAGGUCCUUCUUCUCAAGACAGAUAUAAUAUUACUGGAAUUGGUGAAACUAAAGUCUCCCAUACCCUUGUAAAGGAAAGGGGGGAGGUAAGAGAGAUGUUUUUGUGUGCUCAUUUGAAAACUUGACAAGGUUUGUGUCAGGUGAGAUGUGAUGCUCCGCUCAUUUGAAAACUUGACAAGGUUUGUGUUAGGUGAGAUGUGAUGCUCCGCUCAUUUGAAAACUUGACAAGGUUUGUGUUAGGUGAGAUGUGAUGCUCCCCUCAUUUUCAGGGUUAUUUUUCAAAAAUCGUUUGGCAUCCCUGGGUACUGAAAGUGAAAGUGACGUCAUUGCGUCUGGUGCCUUCUUGUUGAGGUCUCUCAUUGUUGCUGUCUUGUAGGCCUGUAUUUAGUUUUGUUAUUAUUAUUAUUAUUACUAUUAUUAUUAUUAUUUAUCAUUAUUAUUAUUAUUAUUGUUACGGAUUCUCAUUAUGCAUUAAAUGUUUUUUUUGGUUUUUGUUGUUAUUAUUAUAGUUUCACUUUUGUCGUUGUGCUGGGUUUUUAAAAAUUAAAGAUUAAUUUUUCUAUUAUUUGUUCAUCUUUUAUUUAUGUUGUUAAUGUUACUUUUCGGUAUUGCUAUUUGUCCAUUUGUAUUAAUUAAAUAAGUGGUUAAUGUUAUUUUACUUAAAUUGCUUUUCUUAUUGUUCCUAUCAAGCUGCUAAUGUUAUUUCUUUUGCUAUUGUUAUACUUUUAAUUGUAGUUGUAGAUAUUGUUAUUGUCACAUUUUCAUUGUUAUCAUUUACAUAUAUAAAGUAUUAUAUGUUUCUUCAUUAUUUUUUAGUGUUAUCAUUAUAAUAUAUGUAUCCGUGUUAAUUUAUUAUUGAUCAGUACACAUGAGGUGCAACGCGAUUUUGCGAAGAAAACGUUACUAUUUGUAUAAGCCCCGGGGAUAUUUUGUUGUAUUACAUAAUGCUCUCUGCCUGACUCCUAAAAUGACCCAAUUUGUUGAAAGUGGUGCAAAACAUUUCCCUAAACAAAAACAAAAAACAAUUCUCUGUUAUCAUUCCAGGACCCGGCUGUGUUCUUCUUCUGGAUGAAAAGUACACCCCCCACCCCCUCCCCCCACUCGCGUGUCUGUGGUGUAGCGGUUAGGCCAUUCACUGAUGCACGCAGAAGAUACAAGUUCAAAUCCAGAGUGGGAAAGUUUUUAAUUAUUUCCGUCUGUCUGCUGGGAUGUAAUGUUACACUCAGCGGGCGGGCGGGCGGGGGUGGGGGGUGUGUGGUCUUGACAAGAGUGGUGGAGACAGCCUGACUUUUUAAUGAUCUGAAUUGUGCGGAUGGGGGGAGUUAAAUAUUCACAGUAUGAUGUUUCCCCCCCCCCCCCCCCCUCUUUGAAAGACUGUUCUCUAUUUUAUUUCCUUCUCAGCUCAUCUUAAUUGCACUGAUGGGGGCGUCGUAAAAACGCCUUCAUUUUAAAAAAAAACAACACAUUUUUUAAAAGAUACACUUGCCCCUCUGUCCUGUUGGAGAGAUGGCGUUCAAGUCGAAAACUUGCCACAUGAAAAUAUCCUUCCAGUAUUUACAAAAUAGACUGUUCUCUAUUUUAUUUCCUUCUCAGCCCAUCUAAAUUGCACAGAUGGGGGCAUCAAACGUCCUUCAUUAAAAAAUUGUUAAAACUUUUUUUAAAGAUCUAGGUACCUACUUGCCUCUGUCCUGUUGGAGAGGUGGCGUUCAAGUCGAAAACUUGCCACAUGAAAAUAGCCUUCCAGUAUUUAAAAAAUGCUCACAGUCACCAAAGAUACAGAUUAGCCGACGAUGGACUUUGAGAAAGUUAAAGGCCCUUCGCCUUCUGCACUAGUGACAGGUUGGCACCGCUCUCUGCGUUCAUGUCAACUGAACGACGACACGUUUUGUGGAAUGAAUAUUUCAACUUGUGCUCAAUUUCCUCAUGUAAUUCUACUACACUUUACCUCCCCUGUUAAAAGAAUUCACAUUUUAGCUUGGGUUUUUUUUUGUGACAAUUUUUUUUUUUAUUAAUGAUUUUUUUUUAGGGGGGGGUUGUCAUGUUAGUGUCUGAAUGUCUGUAAAUGUGGAGUGGCAGCAUGCACUGGAUGCUUCCAUGGAAGCUGAGAAUGUUUCUGAAAGUUCUUAAGUCUGUCGGAGUAAUGGUAAAUUGUAAAUGUACAUAACAUAGAGGUUGCUGUUAAGUUAGAAGGAUACGCGCUGUGUAAAUACAAACAUUCUACUGGUUAUUAUAAACGUCUAGCCCAUUAUUAUUUUAGAGAUCUUAAAAUUUUUCCAGUGGGCCGUUGGCGGAAACUUUUUUUUUUUGCCCCCCCAAAUUUUACCUCUUUAGGUGGGUCACUGGUGGAGGGUACUCUGGUAUGGUUUGCUCCAACUUUCUUACUUCUUUCCUAUCAAACAUCUGUCAUUCUUGUAAUUCUUCUCCUACUUUUUUGUAUGUUACUCUCUAGUAGUAACACAUCUAAUCUUCUGCACGUUAAUUGGUGUUGUAAGUGCCUUAAAACCCUUUCCAAAACUAAAAACAAAAUUUUGCCCGAGUUUCUCACUUCCCGGAAACGCUGUUUUCUCAUAAGGCAGCUGCCGGUGACUGCGUUAGCAGGUUCCUUCCCUGUCCUGUGCUGGUAUCAUUUUUGUCGUUGUUGUUGUUGCUUUCAGGCGGAAAAAGGAUGUACAACAUGAUGACCAGUUAGACGCUCAAAGACCCCUCUUGAAAAACGUAACAAAUACCGACUGUGGAGUCUGAUGGCAUAAUAAUGGUAGGCCUAGUAAUAAUGCUCCAUGCGCACCCAUUGCAUUCUGAAGGUAAACUUUAGUUUUACAUUUUCUAGUUUGUUAUUUUUGUUGCUGUUGAUGAUUCGAUUUUUGUCUUUGAUUCCGUAUUCAGAUGAGCAGGUUUUGCUCCAGUUUCAUUUUUUUAGUUUUAGUUACAUCCAAGUCUUUCUCAUCACAUAUAUAUAUAUAUACACACACUUAUGCUCAAUAAAGAAAUAUAAUUCUUUAGGUUAAAACAAAUAGAAAUUACUUUUAGUACUUUAAACACUGUGCACUCCGAGUGCUUGGAAGGCGAUUUUUGCAACAACAACAAAAAAACCCAUGCUUUUAGUUUUCUUGACUUGCUGUUCGUGGUUUUGAUCAUAUCAUGUAUUAUAUAUAUAAUAUUGUCAGCCAGCUGCUAAAACGUGUUUGGCACAAAAUUUGGAAAAUUAUUUCAAAAGCAUAUUCUUAGUCUGUGAUAUCGUUCGCAAAUAUGCUUGAGAAAUAUUUUGUCGAAAUUCAAAUUCUUUAAAUGUUGGAAAAAAUCCAGGAAAAUGUACUUUUACUAAUGUAAUUGUUCAAAGACUGGCAAACAUUUUUGUUAUCUCUCCUGGAAAGUUUUGUUUUCGAGGUUUAGUACUUUUGGGCAGUUGGCGGAAGGUGCAAAAGACCAGGAUGAUCUCAUUUUGAUCAACUAACUUUGGUUACAUUUCCCCUCGAUGACGAUACAAAAGAUGGAGAUGAUCUCAUUUGGGCAGUUUGCCAAUGGUACAAAAGAUCCGGAAUAUGUCAUUUUGAUGGACUAACUUUGGUUACAUUACUCUUUGGUUGGGUGUUUUGCUUACUUGUAAUAUGAAUGAGGCACACAUGGUGCAUUUUCCAUACAACGGUGGCACUUACAUGACCAAAAUUGAGUUGAUAGUGCACUAAAACACCUACUCAAUCAAUCAAUCAAACCAUGCAACGGCUUAAAGCCAGUCAAACCUGCCUUCUCUCUUUCAAUACUUGCAUUUUUUCAGUCAAAAAUAGUUUGGCAGAAAUGAAUAAAUCUUAGUUUCGUUUCACUUUCGUGGGGGUAUUGUUUUAGUACGGAGUACUAAUAGUGCAGGUUUUUAAAAAAAGAAAAUACAUAGAAAAGGUGAUUAUAUCUAUAGGUAGCGUUAACUUUCUGUGUUAGUUUAUAAUGGAAGUUCCAAAUUUUAAUGUAGGACCUACAUAUGGGCGGAGCGUUUGGAACAAAGACACCGAUGAGCGUGUAUGAUGACCCUUCUGGGGGGCAAUUUGCUGCUUAAUGCAACAUUUUAUGUUAUUUCACUAAAUUAUAGAAAAUACCCCAAGCCAAAAUUUGGAAUGCAAGGAAUGAAGUUUUUAGUUUCACUAUUGAUUGACCCAACUAACUAGGAAAUAAUCUUGAGCACUUUCAUUUUUAAAAUCAAGCUAAAACUAGAUAGACCAUGGAAUUUCCAACACAAUGAUGUAGGCCUAUCUAUUCAUUAUAUUGAUGUAUGCUUUGGAAGUGAUUUUCUUUGUAUUAUUUUUGUAAAGUUUGCGAAAAUGUUUAAUUAUCACAUGAGGAUUUCUAAUCAAUAUAACUGCAUGCAUUGUUAUUUCCUGUUUAUCUUGAGACAUUUUAAUGCGCAACAUUGAUCUAUUUCUUGAUUUGUGUUGGUGUUUCUGAUAAUUUCUUCUGGGCUUUAAAGUUUGCCUCAGUAUCACAUUUACCGCUCUGGACAAAAAAAUAAUAAAUGUGGAUAUACCGUUUAUAUAUUUAGGCGUCAAGACUAUUUAUGUCAAUGAUGUGGAAUGAUUGAAGUCCCUGAAAAAAAAAUUUGAUUUUGUUAUCUGUA